rnacentral:ncRNA from 1 species
UUAAAGUUUUAUUUUGGCUUAAAUUUUUGUUAUUGAUUUAUUUUAUAUGUAAAUUUUUGUGUGAAAUUUUAUUUAUUUUAAUAAUAAUUAAUUUUUUUUUAUUCUCAGUAAUUAAUUUUAUAAAUCAAAGAAAUUUGGAAUUAGUAAUUUUAUAUAGUAUUGGCUAAAUUUGUGCCAGCAGCCGCGGUUACACAAAUAAUACAAAUAAAAUGUUUUUGGUAAAAGUUAAAUUUUAUAUGAAAAAAUAUGUAUAAUUUUAUUAGGUGAAAUUUUAAAAUUAUUUAUUUUUAUUGAAUUUUAAUUGAAGCUUGUAAAUUUUAUAAAUAAACUAGGAUUAGAUACCCUAUUAUUUAAAAUGUAAUUAGUAAUACUAAGGUAGUAAUAGUUAUGUUCUUGAAACUUAAAAAAUUUGGCGGUAUUUUAGUCUAUUCAGAGGAACCUGUCCUGUAAUCGAUAAUCCACGAUGUACCUAACUUAAAUUUGUAUUUCAGUUUAUAUACCGUCGUUAUUAGAAUAUCUUAUUAGAGUAAUAAUUUUCAAUAAUUUUUAUUAAAAUUUAUAUCAGAUCAAGGUGUAGCUUAUAUUUAAGUAGAGAUGGGUUACAAUAAAAUUAUUUAAAUAGAUUUAAAUUUGAAAUUUUUUUUUGAAAGUGGAUUUGAUAGUAAAAUUUUAAAGAUUAAAAAUUUGAUUUUAGCUCUAAAAUAUGUACACAUCGCCCGUCGCUCUUACUAUUAAGAUAAGAUAAGUCGUAACAUAGUAGAUGUACCGGAAGGUGCCUCUAGAAUGA